UACGUAGGUGGCGAGCGUUAUCCGGAAUGAUUGGGUUUAAAGGGUGCGUAGGCGGGCUUUUAAGUCAGCGGUAAAAAUUCGGGACUCAACCCCGCCCGGCCGUUGAAACUGGGGGUCUUGAGUGGGCGAGAAGAAGGCGGAAUGCGUGGUGUAGCGGUGAAAUGCAUAGAUAUCACGCAGAACCCCGAUUGCGAAGGCAGCCUUCCGGCGCCCUACUGACGCUGAGGCACGAAAGUGCGGGGAUCGAACAGG
rnacentral:rRNA from 1 species